ACUCCGACUCUCUCACACUUGGCCACCAUGACAAAAGCAAUGUCUUCCUUUAUCAUUAUUAUGACACUUUUUCAAACUCUUUCUGCAUCCAUGGCCACUGUCACAAAUAUCCCCAAGCUACCUCACUACUCUGUCCUCAAGCUCAUCCGACCCCUAGCUGCCGAUCGAGAUGCUUCCAAUGGAGAUUUGGAUGUCAAGCCUAAUAAGCAAGGACUCGUCCGUACAGGACACGUGGAGUUGGCGCGCGUAGCUCACGUGCCCAUCACGUGAAGCUGAAGCAUGCUUUGCUCACGUCAUCUAUCUGCACAUAUCAAGUGGAGUUAAGGUCGACACAUGUAGCUCAUGUCAUUGUUCCUUCGUACAAGAUGUGUGGUAGGCCAAGACUAAGUUACGAUGAGCAUGAUGUGUAGAAGGUGGAACUCGUGGUUGAGAUGAGCUGGGCUAACGAUGGAGCUUGCGGACGAGCUGAGGUGGAGCUCGUGGAUGAGUUGAGCUGGGCUGACCAUGGAGCUUGUGGACAUAGGCGGAUUCACCGCCCAGCAAGGCUGGGCACUUGCUCGAGCUUCGCAAAGAAUUUUUUUGUUUCUGUUGAGAGAAAACGAAAAUAAUGGAGGGUAAAACCGAAAAAGAAAGGGCAAAAUCAAGCUUCAACGUGCUUCUCUCUCUGCUCGAGCUCGAACCACGCCGCCACUCUCUUCUCUGUUCGACCCUUAUUUUCAAUUUCUACAAUUUCAGGUGAUUGUUUUCAAUUUCAGGUUUUUGGCACAAACAAGUCCCUAUGGUUGCUUCCAAUGUUUGCAGAAGAGGAUUUAGACAACAUACCUGCACUAAGGGGCAUUGAGUUCCCAAUACGUUCAGACGUUGAUGUAUGAAGAUCUGGGAGCUUGUGAGUUAUAGGUUUGAACUUCUUAGAAUUGAGUUUUGGGCCUAACUCAUCCUCACAAAACCAGCUUGUAAGGUGAUGAUUGCCUCUUCUUUAUAAAUACUUAUUCAGGCCUUAUCGCAAGGGAUGUGGAACUUCUUUAACACACCCCCUCGCGCUCAGCACUGUUGGGCUUAUUGCGCGGAUAUAAAUGGUGGAGGGCCCGAUCAGAAACCUGAUUACAGGCGGCCCGAUGAAGUGGCCCAGCGAAUCGUGGAUAGACUCUGAUACAUCUUAGAAUUGAGUUUUGGGCCUAACUCAUCCUCACAAAACCGGCUUGUAAGGUGAGGAUUGCCUCUUCUUUAUAAAUACUUAUUCAGGCGUUAUCGCAAGCGAUGUGGAACUUCUUUAACAGAACUUACGAUUUUUUUAGAGAAAAAAUAUACCAUUUUCUUCUUACUUAAUACUGGUUCAACAUAGGGCAUGAAAUUACUGCAUUGUGCUUGGUCAUAUAUAUUAUAUGUUUGCAAUGAAAGAAGGGUAUGGUAGAUUCAUGUGUGUAUGUAAUCUUAUAUUUGAUUUGUAUUGAUUAUUCUUAUAUUCAGUUUAAAGAAUCUUCCAUCUGAAGGGGAUAUAAAGUAGAUUUGCUUUUGCAUGUGGAAUUAAUUGAUCAGAGUGGAACCUUUCACUUUUACUAGUCAAUAAUACAUUAUUAAUUUGA